AUUAAUUGAAAUUAUUGAAACAUCUUAUAAAUAACUUUUUCCCUUGUUGUUGAAUGAAAAAAAUAAUAUAAUAUUUGAACAGUCAUUUUCCAUUAUCAUUUAUUUAUUUUUCUUUGUCAGUCACUUUUUUUCUCACUUUUUCCUUUUUUUCUCUUUUAAUUUAUAAUCUCUUUUUCUUUCAACUCUUCCUCUCUCUUUUUUUUUCUUUAAACUCAUCCUCUUUAAUUUAUUUUUCUCUUAACUCCUUAUCUUUGUUUUCUUUUUCUCUCAAUUCCUCCUCUAUGCUUUCUUUUUCUCUCCACUCGUUGUUUUCUUUUUCUCACAAUACAUAUUUUUUUUAUUUAUUUUCUUCACUAAUUUUUGUUUUUUCAUCUCUCUUUCUUUCACCACAGUAUGAACAUAUAUUUUUCAAUAUUCACAAAAAAAUAUUAUUUAUUUUUGUACCAAUGUUUCUUUUCUUUCAUUUUUCUCAUAAAUCUCUUUCAAUUUCCUCUCCA
rnacentral:lncRNA from 1 species